AUGCAGUCAUUGAAUGUGACCUGUGUAAGUCGUCCUAAAGUGAUCGUCCUGCCGCCGUCCAGUGAAGAGAUUUCCAGCAAGAAGACAGCAACAGUGAUGUGUGUGGCCAGCAAUGGUUUCCCUUCAGACUGGAGUCUGAGCUGGAAAGUGAAUGGGAAGAUGUCAGGAUCUCAGGAGAACAGAGCUGGAGUCCUACAGAAAGACGGCGGUCUGUACAGCUGGAGCAGCAGUCUGACUCUCACUGAACAAGAAUGGAUCAACAGAGACUCAGUGAUCUGUGAGAUCAGUCGGGAAGGUCAGACAGUCACUGGAGAAGUGAAGAAAGAUCUGUGUUCUGAGUAG